rnacentral:rRNA from 1 species
GAUGAACGCUAGCUACAGGCUUAACACAUGCAAGUCGAGGGGCAGCAUGACGAUAGCUUGCUAUUGUUGAUGGCGACCGGCGCACGGGUGAGUAACGCGUAUCCAACCUGCCCUUGUCCACCGGAUAACCCGUCGAAAGGCGGACUAACACGGUAUGCAGUCCACAGCAGACAUCUAACGUGGACGAAAUGUGAAGGAGAAGGAUGGGGAUGCGUCUGAUUAGCUUGUUGGCGGGGAAACGGCCCACCAAGGCGACGAUCAGGAGGGGUUCUGAGAGGAAGCCCCCCCGCAUUGGAACUGAGACACGGUCCAAACUCCUACGGGAGGCAGCAGUGAGGAAUAUUGGUCAAUGGGCGAGAGCCUGAACCAGCCAAGUAGCGUGCAGGAAGACGGCCCUAUGGGUUGUAAACUGCUUUUAUACGGGGAUAAAGUGAGUCACGUGUGGCUUAUUGCAGGUACCGUAUGAAUAAGGACCGGCUAAUUCCGUGCCAGCAGCCGCUGUAA